CCUGCCCCGGAGGCACUGCAGGUGUGGCUGCUGUGUCACGUGUAUCAGCAGGUGGCAGAGAGGAGAGAGAUGAUGUCUAUGCUCAGUGUUCAGACCUGUAAACAUCUGAAUGAUCCGUAGCCUAACAUU